rnacentral:rRNA from 1 species
GGCGGCAGGCCUACACAUGCAAGUCGAGCGGAUGAGUGGAGCUUGCUCCAUGAUUCAGCGGCGGACGGGUGAGUAAUGCCUAGGAAUCUGCCUGGUAGUGGGGGACAACGUUUCGAAAGGAACGCUAAUACCGCAUACGUCCUACGGGAGAAAGCAGGGGACCUUCGGGCCUUGCGCUAUCAGAUGAGCCUAGGUCGGAUUAGCUAGUUGGUGAGGUAAUGGCUCACCAAGGCGACGAUCCGUAACUGGUCUGAGAGGAUGAUCAGUCACACUGGAACUGAGACACGGUCCAGACUCCUACGGGAGGCAGCAGUGGGGAAUAUUGGACAAUGGGCGAAAGCCUGAUCCAGCCAUGCCGCGUGUGUGAAGAAGGUCUUCGGAUUGUA